AAGAGCGAGAGUAGAAAGGUCUACAUUCCUCAGAAGCUUGCAGACAAAACACAUAGUUACCUGGAUUUUAUGGAAAACGAAUCACUAAUUGUCAUGAAAAGUUGCCUGGGAUGGAAGUUUUCUCCUCAAUGAGAAAAAUAUACUUGAAUGACUACUGGUCAAAUGGGAAUUGAUUUGUCAUCGAAUGCACAGGCAGGGUACAGGACCCAGAAGGGAGCAUAAGGUCCCCCUGAAUUGGAGUUAUGGAUGGAAGGUUGUGAACUACCAGGUGAGAUGAGGUAAAUUGGCUUCCUCAACCAAGUAUUUCUGCCAUUAUUUGCCUCAGGCCAAAACAGCAUGGAAAGUGAACAAAGAAUCUCUGAAACCAUGAGUUAAGGUGUUUCUCAGAGGAAAGGAUCCAGAUAAAGCUGUCUCGUAUUUUAUCACAUCAGCAGUCAAGGA
rnacentral:lncRNA from 1 species